rnacentral:tRNA from 3 species
GGCGCCAUAGCUCAGCUGGAUAGAGCAGGAGACUUCUAAGCUCAAGGUCAUAGGUUCGAACCCUAUUGGCGCUACCA